UCCCUGGUGGGCCAGUGGCUAAGACUCUGCAAUCCCAACACAGGGGGCCCAGGUUCGAUCCCUGGUCAGGGAA
rnacentral:tRNA from 1 species